UGCUCAUCUUAGCAAAAAGGAGAAGAAAAAGCUGAAAAAACAGAUGGAGUAUGAGCGCCAAGUGGCUUCAUUAAAAGCAGCCAAUGCAGCUGAAAAUGACUUCUCCGUGUCCCAGGCGGAGAUGUCCUCCCGCCAAGCCAUGUUAGAAAAUGCAUCUGACAUCAAGCUGGAGAAGUUCAGCAUCUCCGCUCAUGGCAAGGAGCUGUUCGUCAAUGCAGACCUGUACAUUGUAGCCGGCCGCCGCUACGGGCUGGUAGGACCCAAUGGCAAGGGCAAGACCACACUCCUCAAGCACAUUGCCAACCGAGCCCUGAGCAUCCCUCCCAACAUUGAUGUGUUGCUGUGUGAGCAGGAGGUGGUAGCAGAUGAGACACCAGCAGUCCAGGCUGUUCUUCGAGCUGACACCAAGCGAUUGAAGCUGCUGGAAGAGGAGCGGCGGCUUCAGGGACAGCUGGAACAAGGGGAUGACACAGCUGCUGAGAGGCUAGAGAAGGUGUAUGAGGAAUUGCGGGCCACUGGGGCGGCAGCUGCAGAGGCCAAAGCACGGCGGAUCCUGGCUGGCCUGGGCUUUGACCCUGAAAUGCAGAAUCGACCCACACAGAAGUUCUCAGGGGGCUGGCGCAUGCGUGUCUCCCUGGCCAGGGCACUGUUCAUGGAGCCCACACUGCUGAUGCUGGAUGAGCCCACCAACCACCUGGACCUCAACGCUGUCAUCUGGCUUAAUAACUACCUCCAGGGCUGGCGGAAGACCUUGCUGAUCGUCUCCCAUGACCAGGGCUUCUUGGAUGAUGUCUGCACUGAUAUCAUCCACCUCGAUGCCCAGCGGCUCCACUACUAUAGGGGCAAUUACAUGACCUUCAAAAAGAUGUACCAGCAGAAGCAGAAAGAACUGCUGAAACAGUAUGAGAAGCAAGAGAAAAAGCUGAAGGAGCUGAAGGCAGGCGGGAAGUCCACCAAGCAGGCGGAAAAACAAACGAAGGAAGCCCUGACUCGGAAGCAGCAGAAAUGCCGACGGAAAAACCAAGAUGAGGAAUCCCAGGAGGCCCCUGAGCUCCUGAAGCGCCCUAAGGAGUACACUGUGCGCUUCACUUUUCCAGACCCCCCACCACUCAGCCCUCCAGUGCUGGGUCUGCAUGGUGUGACAUUCGGCUACCAGGGACAGAAACCACUCUUUAAGAACUUGGAUUUUGGCAUCGACAUGGAUUCAAGGAUUUGCAUUGUGGGCCCUAAUGGUGUGGGGAAGAGUACGCUACUCCUGCUGCUGACUGGCAAGCUGACACCGACCCAUGGGGAAAUGAGAAAGAACCACCGGCUGAAAAUUGGCUUCUUCAACCAGCAGUAUGCAGAGCAGCUGCGCAUGGAGGAGACGCCCACUGAGUACCUGCAGCGGGGCUUCAACCUGCCCUACCAGGAUGCCCGCAAGUGCCUGGGCCGCUUCGGCCUGGAGAGUCACGCCCACACCAUCCAGAUCUGCAAACUCUCUGGUGGUCAGAAGGCGCGAGUUGUGUUUGCUGAGCUGGCCUGUCGGGAACCUGAUGUCCUCAUCUUGGACGAGCCAACCAAUAACCUGGACAUAGAGUCUAUUGAUGCUCUAGGGGAGGCCAUCAAUGAAUACAAGGGUGCUGUGAUCGUUGUCAGCCAUGAUGCCCGACUCAUCACAGAAACCAAUUGCCAGCUGUGGGUGGUGGAGGAGCAGAGUGUUAGCCAAAUCGAUGGUGACUUUGAAGACUACAAGCGGGAGGUGUUGGAGGCCCUGGGUGAAGUCAUGGUCAGCCGGCCCCGAGAGUGAAGCUUUCCUUCCCAGAAGUCUCCCGAGAGACAUAUUUGUGUGGCCUAGAAGUCCUCUGUGGUCUCCCCUCCUCUGAAGACUGCCUCUGGCCUGCAGCUGACCUGGCAACCAUUCAGGCACAUGAAGGUGGAGUGUGACCUUGAUGUGACCGGGAUCCCACUCUGAUUGCAUCCAUUUCUCUGAAAGACUUGUUUGUUCUGCUUCUCUUCAUAUAACUGAGCUGGCCUUAUCCUUGGCAUCCCCCUAAACAAACAAGAGGUGACCACCUUAUUGUGAGGUUCCAUCCAGCCAAGUUUAUGUGGCCUAUUGUCUCAGGACUCUCAUCACUCAGAAGCCUGCCUCUGAUUUACCCUACAGCUUCAGGCCCAGCUGCCCCCCAGUCUUUGGGUGGUGCUGUUCUUUUCUGGUGGAUUUAAUGCUGACUCACUGGUACAAACAGCUGUUGAAGCUCAGAGCUGGAGACGGAGUCUUGCUCUGUCGCCAUCCUGGAAUGCAGUAGCGUUAUCUCGGCUCACUGCAACCUCUGCCUCCUGGAUUCAAGCGAUUCCCCUGCCUCAGCCUCCCAAGUAGCUGGGACUACAGGUGCGUGCCACCACUCCCGGCUAAUUUUUUUUUUUUUUUUGAGACAGAGUCUUGCUCUGUCGCCCAGGCUGGAGUGCAGUGGCGCGAUCUCUGCUCGCUGCAAGCUCCACCUCCCGGGUUCAUGCCAUUCUCCUGCCUCAGUCUCCUCAGUAGCUGGGAUUACAGGCACCCGCCACCACACCCACCUAAGUUUUUGUAUUUUUAGUAGAGAAGGGGUUUCACCUUGUUAGCCAGGAUGGUCUCCAUCUCCUGACCUCAUGAUCUGCCCGCUUCGGCCUCCCAAAGUGCUGGGAUUACAGGCGUGAGCCACCGCGCCUGGCAAUUUUUGUAUUUUUAAUAGAGACGGGGUUUCACCAUGUUGGCUAGGAUGGUCUCCAUCUCCUGACCUUGGGAUUUGCCCGCCUCGGCCUCCCAGAGUGUUGGGAUUACAGGUGUGAGCCACCGCGCUCGGCCGAGCUUAUUCUUAAAAUACAGUAAAAACUUUAAGCUCU
rnacentral:misc_RNA from 1 species